CUCCCUUGUAAAAUAAGGGGUUUAAUUGAUUGUUUUUAUUGCUCUUCUACUUCCCAUUUUUCUAUGAGUAUAUGAUUCUAAAUAUCAUUUUUAAACAAACAUUUUUAUUUUAAAAUAGUUUUUCAUUUACAGAAAAACUGUUAGCUUAGUACAGAGACUUCCUAUAUACCCUAUAUCCAGUUUCCUCUAUUAUUUAACUCUUACAUUAGUGUGGUCCAUUUUUUAUAAUUAAUAAAUCUA
rnacentral:lncRNA from 10 species